GAUGAACGCUGGCGGCGUGCCUAAGACAUGCAAGUCGAGUGGGUUUAGGCCCACGGCGAACGGGUGAGUAAUAUCUAGGAACUUUUUUCAAGUCGAGGAUAUCCUUCCGAAAGGAAGUGCAAUACUUGAUGUGGAACGCAAGUCUAAAAGUCGCAAGACGCUUGAAGCAAGGCCUGGACACCAUCAGCUAGUUGGUAAGG
rnacentral:rRNA from 1 species